CGCUGCGCGGCUGCAGCAGCCUUCGGGGCACAGCCGAGCCCGCGCCGGCUCCCCGGGGGCCGGGAAAGGUGCCCAGUCCCAAUUGUGUCUGGGAAUGUUGGCGCUAGAAGCUGGAUAUCCUCCUUCCCCCUGGGUGGUUAAUGACGGGAAAUGGAAGAGUUCCAGGGGAGCUGAUAGCCAUUUGUUUUGCUGCAAGUGCUUGUUACAUGGUUACCGGCGGUCAACUGCUGUCCAGAAGCAGACGAUCCACCUGACAUAGCAUCAGAAGGUCAACAGGAGCCUAACACUAGGUCACAAUGCUUACGUCAUUCCCCUCACUUCAUCUCAUCGUGCUGGCUUUUUAUCAUCUCCCAUCAUCACAAGAAGAAAGGUGAGUACAAGACAUAAGACAUUUUAAAAGAGAGACCAC